rnacentral:rRNA from 1 species
UACGAAGGGGGGCUAGCGUUGUUCGGAAUUACUGGGCGUAAAGAGUGUGUAGGCGGUGUUCCAAGUCUGGUGUGAAAUCUCCCGGCUCAACUGGGAGGGUGCGCCGGAAACUGGAAUGCUAGAGGGUGGGAGAGGUAAGCGGGAAUUCCUGGUGUAGCGGUGAAAUGCGUAGAUAUCAGGAGGAACACCUGUGGUGUAGACAGCUUACUGGACCACUUCUGACGCUGAGACACGAAAGCGUGGGUAGCAAACAGG